AGUUAAAAACCGGCCAAGUGCGAGUCGGACUCGUGCACGAAGGGUUCCGUAAAUUACAGUUAAAUCAACCUAUCUCAAAAACUAUAAGAGAUACUUUGAUCAAACCAAAAAUCGUUGAAAGAGUUAAUUAGCAUGCAUCACCUCUAUUUUUUUUAGAAUUUUAUACCCCGUAGUUAUAAAAAUAGAGGGGGGGGGACAUACUUUUUACGACUUUGAGAGCUGAUAUCUCAAAAACCGUUCACUUUAAGAAAAAUGUUUUUUAGAAAACUUUAUAUCAUUUUAAAAGACCUUUCCAUUGAUACCCCACACGGGUAUGUACAUCGAAAAAAAAAAUUUCAUCCCUCAGUUACAUGUAUGGGGGGCCCCACCCCCAAUUCUUUUUUUUACUAUUUAGUGUCAUAUUUUUGUAGCGGUUCAUACAACACAUAUUCCCAUCAAAUUUCAUCACUGUAGUACUUAUAGUUUCCGAGUAAAUCGGCUGUGACAGACGGACAGACGGACAGACGGACAGACGGACAUGACGAAACUAUAACCCUCUUAUUAUAAAACGCGGUAUCAAAUAAGUAUCGGCUUUUGUAAUGUGUCUUUAAUCCACCUUUAAGUACGACCUUGAAAAAACGUUAUUACAAAACGCAGUUUAUCGCAAGUCCUAUUACUAUCUGUAGUACAAAAGAUAAACCAUCGAGCCCCCUAGUUUAACUGCAGUACUUAGUCGACAAACGUCAAAUUCCGACAUUAUUUACUUUUGAGGUUAUUUGUUUUGUGAUGAAAAAAACGAAAGUGGAUAUAAAUAUGUGUGAUUUGGAAUACUUGGAUGUGUUACAAUACUAUUGAGAGUGUCCGGGGACCCAACAGAAUGCGUCAUCGACAAAAUCUCUUCAAAUUACCUGACGACAAUUUUCGAUAUAAAUAUCGAUUUACGUUUUUCGAAAUAAUAGUCAAUUGAAUGCAUGAUGAUAAUCCAGGAUGAUCCUAUGAUGCUCAACUGGGCUCGCCAUAAAAUUCAAGACUAUUUUGGCGUUUUGCACGCCGUAUCUCUGCCAGUAAUAUGCAAUGUUUGUAAAAGACUGGAAGCUUGCUAAAAUGUACAAAAAUGCCUAGAUGAGAAAGGGAACAAGAUUGUGUGAUGAAGAUCAGUGUCCAACAUGUAGCAGUGCAUUUGACUGUAUAAAUAGACAUCGGAAUAAAAUAUAAUUUUCUACUUU